rnacentral:rRNA from 1 species
UACGUAGGGUGCAAGCGUUGUCCGGAAUUAUUGGGCGUAAAGAGCUCGUAGGCGGUCUGUCGCGUCGGCUGUGAAAACCCGCGGCUCAACCUCGGGCCUGCAGUCGAUACGGGCAGACUAGAGUGCGGUAGGGGAGACUGGAAUUCCUGGUGUAGCGGUGGAAUGCGCAGAUAUCAGGAGGAACACCAAUAGCGAAGGCAGCUCGCUGGGACGGUACUGACGCUGAGGCGCGAAAGCGUGGGGAGCGAACAGG